rnacentral:rRNA from 1 species
AUUGAACGCUGGCGGCAGGCCUAACACAUGCAAGUCGAACGGUAGCACAGAGAGCUUGCUCUCGGGUGACGAGUGGCGGACGGGUGAGUAAUGUCUGGGAAACUGCCCGAUGGAGGGGGAUAACUACUGGAAACGGUAGCUAAUACCGCAUAACGUCGCAAGACCAAAGUGGGGGACCUUCGGGCCUCACACCAUCGGAUGUGCCCAGAUGGGAUUAGCUAGUAGGUGGGGUAAUGGCCCACCUAGGCGACGAUCCCUAGCUGGUCUGAGAGGAUGACCAGCCACACUGGAACUGAGACACGGUCCAGACUCCUACGGGAGGCAGCAGUGGGGAAUAUUGCACAAUGGGCGCAAGCCUGAUGCAGCCAUGCCGCGUGUAUGAAGAAGGCCUUCGGGUUGUAAAGUACUUUCAGCGGGGAGGAAGGCGGUGGAGUUAAUAACUUCACCGAUUGACGUUACCCGCAGAAGAAGCACCGGCUAACUCCGUGCCAGCCGCCGCUGUAA